rnacentral:rRNA from 1 species
GUGUCAGCCGCCGCGGUAAUACAGAGGUGGCAAGCGUUGUUCGGAUUUACUGGGCGUAAAGGGUGCGUAGGUGGUCACCUAAGUCGGGUGUGAAAUCCCACGGCUUAACCGUGGAACGGCAUUCGAAACUGGGUGACUUGAGUGCAGGAGGGGAGAGCGGAAUUCUUGGUGUAGCGGUGAAAUGCGUUGAUAUCAAGAAGAACACCGGUGGCGAAGGCGGCUCUCUGGAAUGCUACUGACACUGAGGCACGAAAGCUGGGGGAGCAAACAGGAUUAGAUACCCCUGUAGUCC